rnacentral:rRNA from 1 species
GAUGAACGCUGGCGGCGUGCCUAAUACAUGCAAGUCGAGCGAACGGACGAGAAGCUUGCUUCUCUGAUGUUAGCGGCGGACGGGUGAGUAACACGUGGAUAACCUACCUAUAAGACUGGGAUAACUUCGGGAAACCGGAGCUAAUACCGGAUAAUAUUUUGAACCGCAUGGUUCAAAAGUGAAAGACGGUCUUGCUGUCACUUAUAGAUGGAUCCGCGCUGCAUUAGCUAGUUGGUAAGGUAACGGCUUACCAAGGCAACGAUGCAUAGCCGACCUGAGAGAGUGAUCGGCCACACUGGAACUGAGACACGGUCCAGACUCCUACGGGAGGCAGCAGUAGGGAAUCUUCCGCAAAGGGCGAAAGCCUGACGGAGCAACGCCGCGUGAGUGAUGAAGGUCUUCGGAUCGUAAAACUCUGUUACUAGGGAAGAACAUAUGUGUAAGUAACUGUGCACAUCUUGACGGUACCUAAUCAGAAAGCCACGGCUAACUACGUG